CCAACCCUAAAAUCUUUUCCCCCUACAUCCACUCAUCCCUUCCACUCCCUCGACAACGGUGGCGGCGGCCCCCUCUGGUGGCGGAGGAGGAGGGGGAGAUGGUGGCACGGCGGCGACCUUCCCCCCUCGUCAUCCUGGAUCCCACUAGACCCGAGGCGUGCGGGUGCGGCGGCGACCUGCAAGGGAAGGGCGACGCUCGAAUCGAUCCAGCGCCAUGGAUCGGUCCCUACGGGAGAAAGAGAAAAUGAGGGAUAGAGAAGGAAGGAGAGGAAGGAGAAAGAGAGAGGAAAGAGGAGAGGGAGGUGCAGCGUUGACCGAUGGCUCGCGCGGUGGUGCGGUAGACGACGGCCUCAGCGGGUGUGCGACGACACCACGCAGCUCCUGUGCCGCGCAACCCUCUCCUUGCAGGCUCAACAGGAGGUUCCCAAGCCGGCUCGGGCCGCUGCUACCUCUUCCUCGCCGCCCAAUAGGUCGCCACUCUGGGGGAGCAGGGUAGCAUCGAGUCCACAGGCUGGGGUGGAGGCCUUCCUAACUCGGACUGUGCGUCCUCCUCUUCGCCCGUCAUCGCCCUGGCCAGCUGAGCACCAACCCGAUGGCUCCGGCAUCCGAUGCCAACACAACGAGGUUAUACUCCAAUCAAACAUGUGAAUAUUUACCAGAGUGCUUCAAGAUCGAUCUGAUGAUCCACUACCGCUCUGCUGUUAUGACUAAUUUGGAUGGGAAUGGUGAUUUCAUGGUUAGUUAUGAUUACUUGGUUCUUGCUCUUGGAGUUACUGUGAAUACAUUCAACACUCCUGGUGUGAUGGAGCAUUCCCACUUUCUGAAGGUAGUGGAGGAUGCCCAAAAGAUUCGGAAGAGCAUGAUAGACUGCUUUGAAAAGGCGUCACUUCCUAACCUCAGUGAAGAGGAGAAAAGGAAGAUCCUUCACUUUGUGAUUAUCGGUGGUGGACCUACUGGGGUUGAAUUUGCUGUGGAGUUGCAUGAUUUUCUUGUCGAAGAUCUGGUGAAGCUAUAUCCUGCAAUUCAAGAAAACUCUCAACUCCUACUUGCGCUCCACCUCUUCCUCCUUUUCAUCGCUCAAUAGGAGGCAACUCAUCUUUCCGUGCAGCGGACCGCGUCCUCAGCGGGUCGGCGACGACGGUUGCAGCUGGUGCAUGAUGGCGAUUCCAACGUCAACAGGAAUCUGCAACUUGUUAGACUUCUUUGCAACCCCAACAAGUCCCUCAUCUUCUUUGUCUGCACAUAUGCAUGAUUUCUAUGAUUGGAAUCAGAUAGCACUAACUAUGUGUCAGACUGCUAAUAUUUAUUUGCUUUAUGAUCCUUGAAGAGUACUCUACGCUCAUACAUGAUCCCACAUAUUCUAGGUAUAAUGAUACUAUCUUUAGUGUUCUGUUCACGGGAAUUUGACAAGUCACUGCUUAAGAUUUCUUAACUUUUGUACAGAUGCUUUCUUGAGGCUUUGGCUAAAAAUUUGUGGUGUACGUCACUCAUUAGGUUGAGUUUUUACCAGUUGCUGAUCUUAUUAUUCUGGUUAUAUUGUCAUGAGUAAAAAAAUAGUGCACUUCUUUUUGAGGAAUCUUCAUGCAUAUUUGUUGCAUCCUUACAAAGUAAUUGUAGUUUAGGUAACUAUGACGGGCUAAAUCCUUAAGCUGGGACAUACAACAAAAUACUUAUUUUAUUGGAGGAGUUUAUGGAACUGGGUAGUGCUCAUCAGGAUGCUCUUGCAGCAAUUGACACAAUCGAUGUGGCUAAUGAACCAGUUCCUAUCUUUAGACAGUCACAUCCAUGUUCGUACUUUUAGAAUAGUUGUUGCAACGGGGAAGAGCAUUUCUGCAAUAGCAAGAUAUCAGGACCCAAUGGGCAUAGGCCGAACCAACCACCAUCACUAUUGCUUCAGGAUUAGAUAGCCAACUUCCACUCAUGAGCCUGUCGAGUCAAGUUUCAGACGAUCAUGUAUCCCCUUGAUAUUCACUGGAUGGAAUCCUCUAUUUUACUCAGACUGAACCUUCUACAAACAUCGGAAAAGCAACAGUAAUAAAGAUGGACAGAAAUUCCAAAAAUAAGGUGUUUUUUUAUGGAUGUACCUGGUUGCGAUGAAGCUAAACAAGAAAUAAUGCUAUCACUUAUUACCUUUGUCCUUCAAAUUUGAGUAUAGGCCUGCGAAAUAAUGAAUAUUUGUGUCUCAUUGCUCCAGCAUGGUCAAUAAAGAUAUGUUGACCCAGGAAAUGUGGGUUUAUCAUAGGUCCUACUGUAUACGUUGAUAUAUGAAAUAUGACAUUUACGGUUAUAUGCUAUCACUUAUUGCCUUUGUCCUUUGCAUUGAGUAUAGGCCUGUGAAAUAAUGGUGUAUUUGUGUGUUGAUUCGUCUGUUUUCCUUCAUGUUCUGGUUCUAAGGUACUAGGACAGACCCAGAGUUAUUUGUAAAAAAAUGUGUUCCAAUGUACCAAUAUUUUGUAUCCUUUCUAAUGCUUAAAAAAGAGGCCAAUAAUUCUUUUAGAAUAUGUAAUAUAUGACAUGUGUAACGCACCUUAAGAGACUACUAAGUUAUCCUGUAUAAUUGGCACGCCCUACUUUUGUAGUAAUAAAUAUAUCAGGUGCUGCUCCAUACAGGUGAUACAUUGCAUUUACCAUAGUAUUUGAUUACAUAUGAUAACAUAAAAUCUGUUUUUUCCUUAGCGGUUCGGCACAUUAGUGCAUAGAAACAGAGUACAGGCAAAUUGAUUAGAUGCAUUAGUUAAGAACACUGAUUUUUUUGGAAAGCUUCAUCAUGACAUCGAUAUUGGUUUCGCCUUACUACCACUCAGAGGUUGGAUGGAGCAUUGAGGAUUUCAGGCUUGGGGUGGCCACGUGUUGCAGGAUAGCAGGAAGAGUUGGAUGUGUUCUGCAGAGACGAGGUGAUCAAUGUCGUUGCCGCCAGGUUCCUAUCUUUAGACAGUCACAUCCACGUUCGUACUUUUAGAAUAGUUGUUGCAGAGCAUUUUUGCAAUAGCAAGAUAUCAGGACCCAAUGGGCAUAGGCCGAACCAACCACCAUCACUAUUGCUUCAGGAUUAGAUAGCCAACAUCCACUCACGAGCCUGUCGAGUCAAGUUUCAGACGAUCAUGUAUCCCCUUGAUAUUCACUGGAUGGAAUCCCCUGUUUUACUUAGACUGAACCUUCUACAAACAUCGGAAAAGCAACAGUAAUAAAGAUGGACAGAAAUUCCAAAAAUAAGGUGUUUUUUAUGGAUGUACCUGGUUGCGAUGAAGCUAAACAAGAAAUAAUUCUAUCACUUAUUACCUUUGUCCUUCAAAUUUGAGUAUAGGCCUGCGAAAUAAUGAAUAUUUGUGUCUCAUUGCUCCAGCAUGGUCAAUAAAGAUAUGUUGACCCAGGAAAUGUGGGUUUAUCAUAGGUCCUACUGUAUACGUUGAUAUAUGAAAUAUGAUAUUUACGGUUAUAUGCUAUCACUUAUUGCCUUUGUCCUUUGCAUUGAGUAUAGGCCUGUGAAAUAAUGGUGUAUUUGUGUGUUGAUUCGUCUGUUUUCCUUCAUGUUCUGGUUCUAAGGUACCAGGACAGACCCAGAGUUAUUUGUAAAAAAAUGCGUUCCAAUGUACCAAUAUUUUGUAUCCUUUCUAAUGCUUAAAAAAGAGGCGAAUAAUUCUUUUAUAAUAUGUAAUAUAUGACAUGUGUAACACACCUUAAGAGACUACUAAGUUAUCCUGUAUAAUUGGCACGCCCUACUUUUGUAGUAAUAAAUAUAUCAGGUGCUGCUCCAUACAGGUGAUACAUUGCAUUUACCAUAGUAUUUGAUUACAUAUGAUAACAUAAAAUCUGUUUUUUCCUUAGCGGUUCGGCACAUUAGUACAUAGAAACAGCGUACAGGCAAAUUGAUUAGAUGCAUUAGUUAAGAACACUGAUUUUUUUGGAAAGCUUCAUCAUGACAUCGAUAUUGGUUUCGCCUUACUACCACUCAGAGGUUGGAUGGAGCAUCGAGGAUUUCAGGCUUGGGGUGGCCACGUGUUGCAGGAUAGCAGGAAGAGUUGGAUGUGUUCUGCAGAGACGAGGUGAUCAAUGUCGUUGCCGCCAGGUUCCUAUCUUUAGACAGUCACAUCCACGUUCGUACUUUUAGAAUAGUUGUUGCAACGGGGAAGAGCAUUUUUGCAAUAGCAAGAUAUCAGGACCCAAUGGGCAUAGGCCGAACCAACCACCAUCACUAUUGCUUCAGGAUUAGAUAGCCAACUUCCACUCACGAGCCUCUCGAGUCAAGUUUCAGACGAUCAUGUAUCCCCUUGAUAUUCACUGGAUGGAAUCCCCUAUUUUACUCAGACUGAACCUUCUACAAACAUCAGAAAAGCAACAGUAAUAAAGAUGGACAGAAAUUCCAAAAAUAAGGUGUUUUUUUAUGGAUGUACCUGGUUGCGAUGAAGCUAAACAAGAAAUAAUGCUAUCACUUAUUACCUUUGUCCUUCAAAUUUGAGUAUAGGCCUGCGAAAUAAUGAAUAUUUGUGUCUCAUUGCUCCAGCAUGGUCAAUAAAGAUAUGUUGACCCAGGAAAUGUGGGUUUAUCAUAGGUCCUACUGUAUACGUUGAUAUAUGAAAUAUGACAUUUACGGUUAUAUGCUAUCACUUAUUGCCUUUGUCCUUUGCAUUGAGUAUAGGCCUGUGAAAUAAUGGUGUAUUUGUGUGUUGAUUCGUCUGUUUUCCUUCAUGUUCUGGUUCUAAGGUACCAGCACAGACCCAGAGUUAUUUGCAAAAAAAUGCGUUCCAAUGUACCAAUAUUUUGUAUCCUUUCUAAUGCUUAAAAAAGAGGCGAAUAAUUAUUUUAUAAUAUGUAAUAUAUGACAUGUGUAACGCACCUUAAGAGACUACUAAGUUAUCCUGUAUAAUUGGCACGCCCUACUUUUGUAGUAAUAAAUAUAUCAGGUGCUGCUCCAUACAGGUGAUACAUUGCAUUUACCAUAGUAUUUGAUUACAUAUGAUAACAUAAAAUCUGUUUUUUCCUUAGCGGUUCGGCACAUUAGUGCAUAGAAACAGAGUACAGGCAAAUUGAUUAGAUGCAUUAGUUAAGAACACUGAUUUUUUUGGAAAGCUUCAUCAUGACAUCGAUAUUGGUUUCGCCUUACUACCACUCCGAGGUUGGAUGGAGCAUCGAGGAUUUCAGGCUUGGGGUGGCCACGUGUUGCAGGAUAGCAGGAAGAGUUGGAUGUGUUCUGCAGAGACGAGGUGAUCAAUGUCGUUGCCGCCAGGUUCCUAUCUUUAGACAGUCACAUCCACGUUCGUACUUUUAGAAUAGUUGUUGCAACGGGGAAGAGCAUUUUUGCAAUAGCAAGAUAUCAGGACCCAAUGGGCAUAGGCCGAACCAACCACCAUCACUAUUAUUUCAGGAUUAGAUAGCCAACUUCCACUCAUGAGCCUGUCGAGUCAAGUUUCAGACGAUCAUGUAUCCCCUUGAUAUUCACUGGAUGGAAUCCCCGGUUUUACUCAGACUGAACCUUCUACAAACAUCGGAAAAGCAACAGUAAUAAAGAUGGACAGAAAUUCCAAAAAUAAGGUGUUUUUUUAUGGAUGUACCUGGUUGCGAUGAAGCUAAACAAGAAAUAAUGCUAUCACUUAUUACCUUUGUCCUUCAAAUUUGAGUAUAGGCCUGCGAAAUAAUGAAUAUUUGUGUCUCAUUGCUCCAUCAUGGUCAAUAAAGAUAUGUUGACCCAGGAAAUGUGGGUUUAUCAUAGGUCCUACUGUAUACGUUGAUAUAUGAAAUAUGACAUUUACGGUUAUAUGCUAUCACUUAUUGCCUUUGUCCUUUGCAUUGAGUAUAGGCCUGUGAAAUAAUGGUGUAUUUGUGUGUUGAUUCGUCUGUUUUCCUUCAUGUUCUGGUUCUAAGGUACCAGGACAGACCCAGAGUUAUUUGCAAAAAAAUGCGUUCCAAUGUACCAAUAUUUUGUGUCCUUUCUAAUGCUUAAAAAAGAGGCGAAUAAUUCUUUUAGAAUAUGUAAUAUAUGACAUGUGUAACGCACCUUAAGAGACUACUAAGUUAUCCUGUAUAAUUGGCACGCCCUACUUUUGUAGUAAUAAAUAUAUCAGGUGCUGCUCCAUACAGGUGAUACAUUGCAUUUACCAUAGUAUUUGAUUACAUAUGAUAACAUAAAAUCUGUUUUUUCCUUAGCGGUUCGGCACAUUAGUGCAUAGAAACAGAGUACAGGCAAAUUGAUUAGAUGCAUUAGUUAAGAACACUGAUUUUUUUGGAAAGCUUCAUCAUGACAUCGAUAUUGGUUUCGCCUUACUACCACUCAGAGGUUGGAUGGAGCAUCGAGGAUUUCAGGCUUGGGGUGGCCACGUGUUGCAGGAUAGCAGGAAGAGUUGGAUGUGUUCUGCAGAGACGAGGUGAUCAAUGUCGUUGCCGCCAGGUUCCUAUCUUUAGACAGUCACAUCCACGUUCGUACUUUUAGAAUAGUUGUUGCAACGGGGAAGAGCAUUUUUGCAAUAGCAAGAUAUCAGGACCCAAUGGGCAUAGGCCGAACCAACCACCAUCACUAUUACUUCAGGAUUAGAUAGCCAACUUCCACUCAUGAGCCUGUCGAGUCAAGUUUCAGACUGAUCAUGUAUCCCCUUGAUAUUCACUGGAUGGAAUCCCCUGUUUUACUCAAACUGAACCUUCUACAAACAUCGGAAAAGCAACAGUAAUAAAGAUGGACAGAAAUUCCAAAAAUAAGGUGUUUUUUAUGGAUGUAGCUGGUUGCGAUGAAGCUAAACAAGAAAUAAUGCUAUCACUUAUUACCUUUGUCCUUCAAAUUUGAGUAUAGGCCUGCGAAAUAAUGAAUAUUUGUGUCUCAUUGCUCCAGCAUGGUCAAUAAAGAUAUGUUGACCCAGGAAAUGUGGGUUUAUCAUAGGUCCUACUGUAUACGUUGAUAUAUGAAAUAUGACAUUUCCGGUUAUAUGCUAUCACUUAUUGCCUCUGUCCUUUGCAUUGAGUAUAGGCCUGUGAAAUAAUGGUGUAUUUGUGUGUUGAUUCGUUUGUUUUCCUUCAUGUUCUGGUUCUAAGGUACCAGGACAAACCCAGAGUUAUUUGUAAAAAGUGCUUUCCAAUGUACCAAUAUUUUGUAUCCUUUCUAAUGCUUAAAAAAGAGGCGAAUAAUUCUUUUAGAAUAUGUAAUAUCCGACAUGUGUAACGCACCUUAAGAGACUACUAAGUUAUCCUGUAUAAUUGGCACGCCCUACUUUUGUAGUAAUAAAUAUAUCAUGUGCUGCUCCAUACAGGUGAUACAUUGCAUUUACCAUAGUAUUUGAUUACAUAUGAUAACAUAAAAUCUGUUUUUUCCUUAGCGGUUCGGCACACUUAGUGCAUAGAAACAGAGUACAGGAAAAUUGAUUAGAUGCAUUAGUUAAGAACACUGAUUUUUUUGGAAAGCUUCAUCAUGACAUCGAUAUUGGUUUCGCCUUACUGCCACUCAGAGGUUGGAUGGAGCAUCGAGGAUUUCAGGCUUGGGGUGGCCACGUGUUGCAGGAUAGCAGGAAGAGUUGGAUGUGUUCUGCAGAGACCAGGUGAUCAAUGUCGUUGCCCCAGGACAAAGGAGAGGCAGGUACAACAGCAGGAGAAGAAUGCAAUGAGGUGCGAUCUUCUGUUCGAUGCCAAGGGCUUGUCCGGCAGUGAUUUCCUUGGGAUGAUCUAGAUGAUAUAACAAAAGGAUUAUAUAUGCGUUUGUGUGCUUCAGAAAAGGUACAUUUAGAAGUCACAAUAGAGAAGGUUCGUAGCCUUGGCUCCAAAGCUUCAAGCUCUUAUAGAAAUUAGAACUAAGGGCCUUUUAAAAUGAGUCCUACAUAAUAGUGUUGUUCAGUAGGAUGCAGAAUUUUUGUUUGUCUGAUCGUCUAUCCUUGGUGCUGAUUUACGUACUGAUUUCAUCAUCAUAUGACUACAAUAAAGAAGUUGUGUGUAUAAAUAUUUCUAACUGCUGAUACUUUGCAUCAGUGAUUUCAAUUCUGUUGUCCCUCCUUAA